AUCGAGCACAAUCCGAGCACACCCGACUUCUCUGGACCAACUGACGUGAUUCUGGCUAAUUUUUCAUCUCAUUGUCUAUGCAAGCGUUCGAAUAUGUCGCCACGAAAUGCGCAUCAGUCUAUUCAAUCUUAAUAUUCAAACAGACAACGUUCUUAAGCGCAUCACACUUGCGAGAAGUUACUGAAUUCGAUACUCAACUCCUACUUGGCUGAUUUGAAAGUUGCAAUUCAACUGUCAAGUCAUAUUUUAAAAACUAACCUCACAAAACAAGAGACACUUUGUCAAAUAUUUUGAAAGCCUUUUUCUACAAGGUGAAAAAAAUGCAGGCUCAACAGGAUCUGAACGAGAGUCUACCCCUGCCGGCUGAGGAAAUGCCGGAGUGCUGGGAAAAGGAUGAUCGUAUGAACUCCCUGUUUGCACAGUUUCGAAACCGCUCUACUAAUCCACAGGACUGGGAUUCUAAGUACAGAUUUUGGCGCGGUAUGAUAGCAGAUUGGUCAAAAUACAGGAAACGUUGCAGUUUCUCUCUAUCAGAACUGAACAAAGCCUUUAAGCGUAACGGUAGAACCCCGGCCUGCUUGUCGAUUGUACUUCAGGAAAUGCACAGAAAUGGUGAGAUUGUUCCAGUGUCGAAUUUCAUUCGCGAAUCCCCAAAUUCUUGGGGAGGAUGGGCGGUUGACACUCUUGUGAAACGACCAUUGUUCUGGUCGUAUUCUGUGCUAAAAAAUAGCAUAGUUGAGACAUCGGUAGAUCCAGAGACCAGAUAUGUCCAGUUGGAGACGGUCAAGGAAUUGGGAGAGCUGAUUCUGUCGACGAUUAAGAAAAACGAAGAGAAUACCCUUUGUUCUAUGGCCGACAUAACAAAAAAUUGCAUAGAGAAAGUGAAUAUCAAAAACGGUAGUUUAUCAGACGACGAUGUGAAACUUGCUUUGAUAUGGUUGCGUCUCAACAAGAAAGCUGCGUUCCAUUUUAGUCCUGAACGAGACAGUAACGAUACGCUGGUCAAGUUGUCGAACACCAAUGUUAAAGAGGUAACAGAGGCUGAGGAAGGUUUGUACCGAUUAGAAAAGCAGGAAGAAACCUUGAUCAAAAAUCUAGAGUUAUUGGAACUUGAAAAGGAAACUGUUAUGAAGAAUGCAAAAGCAUAUUUGGCCAAUGGAAUGCGACAAGUUGCCAAAAGCUGUCUACGAAAAAAAAAAGAGCUGGAGAAAAGCAUUGAAAAACGUGCAGCUGCCAUUCAAAACAUCCAAAUUAUUAUCACUAGAGUUCGCGACAUGCGUUCUGACUCCGAGGUACUUAAUUCCUACAAAGCAGGAGCUGCCGCAUUGAAGCAAAAAUUGGCGGAAGAUGGCCUUACCGAAGACAAUGUUGCCGAUACCAUGAAUGAUCUUUCAGAGGUAUUGGAAGAAUUUAGUGAAGUGCAAUCAGUUCUAACUAAACCAGUGGACUACUACGAUUCGGAUCUUGAAGACGAGUUAUCAGAGCUGCUCGCGGAAACAGAACAUGAUGACUCAAUUAACAGCCCUCAAAAUACUCCUGGUAAAUCACAAAGUAACUCCAACGUAAACGGUGAUAAGAAACAACCAAACAUUGUUAAAGAAUUCUCAUCCUUGCGUCUGGAAGGUUUUCUCUUCUAGACCUUCCGUCGCCCCCAACAAAAUACUCACCACCGAUUACAUCACCUGUACCUUCCCAGGGUGAAUAAGUUAAUCUGUCAUUUCAUCGACGAUCCUAACAAACCAUUUGUGUAACCGGCGCAGAACUUGUCGUUGCUGAUGAAGACUGCAAUUUCGCUACUGUUGCUCGAAGACUUGCACUGGUUGUAGGAUAUGUAAGGCAGUGUCAGAGUCUGCAGAACGGCACUGGUCGUGCCUGUUGCUGUCCUACCGAAACCGGCGACUUUUCCAAAGACACCAGGCUCGAGUAUCUGCUCACUGAACCCAGACACGUCCAAACAAGCAGGCUGAAGAAUGCUGGUGAAUUCGAACGGCUGGUGGAGUUCCAGCAGUGCAAUGUCAGAUGCGUAAUUUCCAUUUAGUCCGUAAUACUGACAAUACAAGUAAACAUUUUUCACCUG